rnacentral:rRNA from 1 species
CCUCGAAUCAGGUAGGACUACCCGCUGAACUUAAG